AUUGAACGCUGGCGGCAGGCCUAUCACAUGCAAGUCGAGCGGAUGAAGGGAGCUUGCUCCUGGAUUCAGCGGCGGACGGGUGAGUAAUGCCUAGGAAUCUGCCUGGUAGUGGGGGAUAACGUCCGGAAACGGGCGCUAAUACCGCAUACGUCCUGAGGGAGAAAGUGGGGGAUCUUCGGACCUCACGCUAUCAGAUGAGCCUAGGUCGGAUUAGCUAGUUGGUGGGGUAAAGGCCUACCAAGGCGACGACCCGUAACUGGUCUGAGAGGAUGAUCAGUCACACUGGAACUGAGACACGGUCCAGACUCCUACGGGAGGCAGCAGUGGGGAAUAUUGGAUAAUGGGCGAAAGCCUGAUCCAGCCAUGCCGCGUGUGUGAAGAAGGUCUUCGGAUUGUAAAGCACUUUAAGUUGGGAGGAAGGGCAGUAAGUUAAUACCUUGCUGUUUUGACGUUACCAACAGAAUAAGCACCGGCUAACUUCGUG
rnacentral:rRNA from 1 species